rnacentral:rRNA from 1 species
CCUACGGGCGGCAGCAGUGAGGAAUAUUGGUCAAUGGACGAGAGUCUGAACCAGCCAAGUGGCGUGAAGGAUGACUGCCCUAUGGGUUGUAAACUUCUUUUAUAUGGGAAUAAAACGUUCCACGUGUGGGAUUUUGUAUGUACCAUAUGAAUAAGGAUCGGCUAACUCCGUGCCAGCAGCCGCGGUAAUACGGAGGAUCCGAGCGUUAUCCGGAUUUAUUGGGUUUAAAGGGAGCGUAGGUGGAUUGUUAAGUCAGUUGUGAAAGUUUGCGGCUCAACCGUAAAAUUGCAGUUGAAACUGGCAGUCUUGAGUACAGUAGAGGUGGGCGGAAUUCGUGGUGUAGCGGUGAAAUGCUUAGAUAUCACGAAGAACUCCGAUUGCGAAGGCAGUUCACUGGACUGCAACUGACACUGAGGCUCGAAAGUGUGGGUAUCAAACAGGAUUAGAUACCCCAGUAGUC